GACGAACGCUGGCGGCGUGCUUAACACAUGCAAGUCGAACGGAAAGGCCCUGCUUUUGUGGGGUGCUCGAGUGGCGAACGGGUGAGUAACACGUGAGUAACCUGCCCUUGACUUUGGGAUAACUUCAGGAAACUGGGGCUAAUACCGGAUAGGAGCUCCUGCUGCAUGGUGGGGGUUGGAAAGUUUCGGCGGUUGGGGAUGGACUCGCGGCUUAUCAGCUUGUUGGUGGGGUAGUGGCUUACCAAGGCUUUGACGGGUAGCCGGCCUGAGAGGGUGACCGGCCACAUUGGGACUGAGAUACGGCCCAGACUCCUACGGGAGGCAGCAGUGGGGAAUAUUGCACAAUGGGCGGAAGCCUGAUGCAGCAACGCCGCGUGCGGGAUGACGGCCUUCGGGUUGUAAACCGCUUUCGCCUGUGACGAAGCGUGAGUGACGGUAAUGGGUAAAGAAGCACCGGCUAACUACGUGCCAGCAGCCGCGGUGAUACGUAGGGUGCGAGCGUUGUCCGGAUUUAUUGGGCGUAAAGGGCUCGUAGGUGGUUGAUCGCGUCGGAAGUGUAAUCUUGGGGCUUAACCCUGAGCGUGCUUUCGAUACGGGUUGACUUGAGGAAGGUAGGGGAGAAUGGAAUUCCUGGUGGAGCGGUGGAAUGCGCAGAUAUCAGGAGGAACACCAGUGGCGAAGGCGGUUCUCUGGGCCUUUCCUGACGCUGAGGAGCGAAAGCGUGGGGAGCGAACAGGCUUAGAUACCCUGGUAGUCCACGCUGUAAACGGUGGGUACUAGGUGUGGGGUCCAUUCCACGGGUUCCGUGCCGUAGCUAGCGCUUUAAGUACCCCGCCUGGGGAGUACGGCCGCAAGGCUAAAACUCAAAGGAAUUGACGGGGCCCCGCACAAGCGGCGGAGCAUGCGGAUUAAUUCGAUGCAACGCGUAGAACCUUACCUGGGUUUGACAUGGAUCGGGAGUGCUCAGAGAUGGGUGUGCCUCUUUUGGGGUCGGUUCACAGGUGGUGCAUGGCUGUCGUCAGCUCGUGUCGUGAGAUGUUGGGUUAAGUCCCGCAACGAGCGCAACCCUUGUUCACUGUUGCCAGCACGUUAUGGUGGGGACUCAGUGGAGACCGCCGGGGUCAACUCGGAGGAAGGUGGGGAUGACGUCAAGUCAUCAUGCCCCUUAUGUCCAGGGCUUCACGCAUGCUACAAUGGCUGGUACAGAGAGUGGCGAGCCUGUGAGGGUGAGCGAAUCUCGGAAAGCCGGUCUCAGUUCGGAUUGGGGUCUGCAACUCGACCUCAUGAAGUCGGAGUCGCUAGUAAUCGCAGAUCAGCAACGCCGCGGUGAAUACGUUCCCGGG
rnacentral:rRNA from 1 species